CCUCCUUCUUCUUCUUCUUAUUCUUCGCUGGUAGCCCUUGAUGGUACUGGUGGUGGUGUUUUCUUGUUAUUGGAGUUGAUGGCGGUUGUGUUGGUGUAGGGGUGAGCUCUGUUAUUUUGGUAAUGGUUGGGUUGUUGCUGGUAUAAUUGGAGUUUGCUACUGGUAGGAUUUGGUGAUUUUCCAGAAUAAACCAGUUAAGGAUUUUAUGGGUACUAUUUGUCAGCACAUGUCAUCAGCUACUCACAGGAGACGCUCAACUAUCUUCACAAACUCAGGAAGCUGUUCAACAAACCAAAACUAAGUCUGGUCAUCAACAAAAAGCUCUGACUAAUAUCUAGGAUCUUCAAUGUACUUUCUGUUUUACAGUUUUGAAUAAUGUACUUGUUUUCUGAUAUAAAUAGAAGAUCCCAAUCUCUGCA